rfam:Schistosoma margrebowiei strain Zambia genome assembly, scaffold: SMRZ_contig0003802
GCACUGCUGAGGAGUCCCACAAUUGGACGAAACGGCCGUCCAGUAC